rnacentral:snoRNA from 1 species
UUACCAGUUUUUUUUGUUGUUUAAAAGUAAUUACUUAUGUGCAGAAAUUUUUAAAAAGCUGGCAAUAGUAAUGCCAUAAUAUGAGCCUUAAGGACAAUCACAGUCAUUAAGGUCCCUGAAUAUGGCUAAAAAA